UACGUAGGGCGCAAGCGUUGUCCGGAAUUAUUGGGCGUAAAGAGCUCGUAGGCGGCUUGUCACGUCGGAUGUGAAAGCCCGGGGCUUAACUCCGGGUCUGCAUUCGAUACGGGCUGGCUAGAGUGUGGUAGGGGAGAUCGGAAUUCCCGGUGUAGAGGUGAAAUUCGUAGAUAUCGGGAGGAAUACCAGUGGCGAAGGCGCUGUCCUGGACGAAGAUUGACGCUGAGGUGCGAAAGCGUGGGGAGCAAACAGG
rnacentral:rRNA from 1 species